rnacentral:misc_RNA from 1 species
CCAAUAGCGUAUAUUAAAGUUGUUGCAGUUAAAAAGCUCGUAGUUGAAUUUCGGGAUCAGUAGGUCGGUCGUGCCACUGGUAUGAACUGGUCUCACUGGUUCCUCCCUCUUGACGAACUGCAAUGCUAUUAAUUUAGUGUUGUAGGAAAUCAGGACUGUUACUUUGAAAAAAUUAGAGUGUUUAAAGCAGGCUUUGGCUUGAAUACAUUAGCAUGGAAUAAUGAAAUAGGACGUUCGAUCCUAUUUUGUUGGCUUCUAGGAUUGACGUAAUGAUUAAUAGGGACAGUUGGGGACAUUAGUAUUCAAUUGUCAGAGGUGAAAUUCUUGGAUUUAUUGAAGACUAACUACUGCGAAAGCAUUUGCCAAGGAUGUUUUCAUUAAUCAAGAACGAAAGUUAGGGGAUCGAAGACGAUCAGAUACCGUCGUAGUCUUAACCAUAAACUAUGCCGACUAGGGAUCGGAUGAUGUUAAUUUUUUAAUGACUCAUUCGGCGCCUUACG